rnacentral:rRNA from 1 species
AACGAACGCUGGCGGCAGGCCUAACACAUGCAAGUCGAGCGAUCGCAGCAAUGCGGGAGCGGCAGACGGGUGAGUAACACGUGGGAACGUACCCUUCGGUUCGGAAUAACUCAGGGAAACUUGAGCUAAUACCGGAUACGUCCGAGAGGAGAAAGAUUUAUCGCCGAAGGAUCGGCCCGCGUCUGAUUAGCUAGUUGGUGAGGUAACGGCUCACCAAGGCGACGAUCAGUAGCUGGUCUGAGAGGAUGAUCAGCCACACUGGGACUGAGACACGGCCCAGACUCCUACGGGAGGCAGCAGUGGGGAAUAUUGGACAAUGGGGGCAACCAUGAUCCAGCCAUGCCGCGUGAGUGAUGAAGGCCUUAGGGUUGUAAAGCUCUUUUACCCGGGAAGAUAAUGACGGUACCGGGAGAAUAAGCCCCGGCUAACUCCGUGCCAGCCGCCGCGGUAAGAC